AGAGUUUGAUCCUGGCUCAGAUUGAACGCUGGCGGCAGGCCUAACACAUGCAAGUCGAGCGGUAACAGAUCCAGCUUGCUGGAUGCUGACGAGCGGCGGACGGGUGAGUAAUGCAUAGGAAUCUGCCCGAUAGUGGGGGAUAACCUGGGGAAACCCAGGCUAAUACCGCAUACGUCCUACGGGAGAAAGGGGGCUCCGGCUCCCGCUAUGGGAUGAGCCUAUGUCGGAUUAGCUAGUUGGUGAGGUAAUGGCUCACCAAGGCAACGAUCCGUAGCUGGUCUGAGAGGAUGAUCAGCCACAUCGGGACUGAGACACGGCCCGAACUCCUACGGGAGGCAGCAGUGGGGAAUAUUGGACAAUGGGGGCAACCCUGAUCCAGCCAUGCCGCGUGAGUGAAGAAGGCCCUAGGGUUGUAAAACUCUUUCACUGAUGAAGAUGAUGACGGUAAUCAGAGAAGAAGCCCCGGCUAACUCCGUGCCAGCAGCCGCGGUAAUACGGAGGGGGCUAGCGUUGUUCGGAAUUACUGGGCGUAAAGCGCACGUAGGCGGCGUAUCCAGUCAGGGGUGAAAGGCCUGGGCUCAAUCCGGGAACUGC
rnacentral:rRNA from 1 species